rnacentral:rRNA from 1 species
AUUGAACGCUGGCGGCAGGCUUAACACAUGCAAGUCGAACGAUGAUUAUCUAGCUUGCUAGAUAUGAUUAGUGGCGGACGGGUGAGUAACAUUUAGGAAUCUACCUAGUAGUGGGGGAUAGCUCGGGGAAACUCGAAUUAAUACCGCAUACGACCUACGGGUGAAAGGGGGCGCAAGCUCUUGCUAUUAGAUGAGCCUAAAUCAGAUUAGCUAGUUGGUGGGGUAAAGGCCCACCAAGGCGACGAUCUGUAACUGGUCUGAGAGGAUGAUCAGUCACACCGGAACUGAGACACGGUCCGGACUCCUACGGGAGGCAGCAGUGGGGAAUAUUGGACAAUGGGGGCAACCCUGAUCCAGCCAUGCCGCGUGUGUGAAGAAGGCCUUUUGGUUGUAAAGCACUUUAAGCAGGGAGGAGAGGCUAAUGGUUAAUACCCAUUAGAUUAGACGUUACCUGCAGAAUAAGCACCGGCUAACUCUGUGCCAGCAGCCGCGGUAAUACAGAGGGUGCGAGCGUUAAUCGGAAUUACUGGGCGUAAAGCGAGUGUAGGUGGCUCAUUAAGUCACAUGUGAAAUCCCCGGGCUUAACCUGGGAACUGCAUGUGAUGCUGGUGGUGCUAGAAUAUGUGAGAGGGAAGUAGAAUUCCAGGUGUAGCGGUGAAAUGCGUAGAGAUCUGGAGGAAUACCGAUGGCGAAGGCAGCUUCCUGGCAUAAUAUUGACACUGAGAUUCGAAAAGCGUGGGUAGCAAACAGG